rnacentral:rRNA from 1 species
GGUUACUGCUAUCGGUGUUCGCCUAAGCCAUGCGAGUCAUAUGUUCGUAAGAACAUGGCGUACUGCUCAGUAACACGUGGAUAACCUGCCCUUGGGUCCGGCAUAACCCCGGGAAACUGGGGAUAAUUCCGGAUAACGCACAUAUGCUGGAAUGCUUUAUGCGUAAAAUGGAUUCGUCUGCCCAAGGAUGGGUCUGCGGCCUAUCAGGUAGUAGUGGGUGUAAUGUACCUACUAGCCUACGACGGGUACGGGUUGUGAGAGCAAGAGCCCGGAGAUGGAUUCUGAGACAUGAAUCCAGGCCCUACGGGGCGCAGCAGGCGCGAAAACUUUACAAUGCGGGAAACCGUGAUAAGGGGACACCGAGUGCCAGCAUCCUAUGCUGGCUGUCCGGGUGUGUAAAAUACACCUGUUAGCAAGGGCCGGGCAAGACCGGUGCCAGCCGCCGCGGUAACACCGGCGGCCCGAGUGGUGAUCGUGAUUAUUGGGUCUAAAGGGUCCGUAGCCGGUUUGGUCAGUCCUCCGGGAAAUCUGACAGCUUAACUGUUAGGCUUUCGGAGGAUACUGCCAGACUUGGAACCGGGAGAGGUAAGAGGUACUACAGGGGUAGGAGUGAAAUCUUGUAAUCCCUGUGGGACCACCUGUGGCGAAGGCGUUUUACCAGAACGGGUUCGACGGUGAGGGACGAAAGCUGGGGGCACGAACCGGAUUAGAUACCCGGGUAGUCCCAGCCGUAAACGAUGCUCGCUAGGUGUCAGGCAUGGCGCGACCGUGUCUGGUGCCGCAGGGAAGCCGUGAAGCGAGCCACCUGGGAAGUACGGCCGCAAGGCUGAAACUUAA